GUGGUUGUAGCUCAGUGGUAGAGCACUUGCCUAUGUGCAAGCGUAGGCACUGGGUUCGAUCCUCAGAAACACA
rfam:Ictidomys tridecemlineatus contig020037, whole genome shotgun sequence.